UACGGAGGAUGCAAGCGUUAUCCGGAAUGAUUGGGCGUAAAGCGUCCGCAGGUGGCAAUGUAAGUCUGCUGUCAAAGCGUCUGGCUCAGCCAGAUAAAGGCAGUGGAAACUACAUAGCUAGAGUAAGGUAGGGGUAGAGGGAAUUCCUGGUGUAGCGGUGAAAUGCGUAGAGAUCAGGAAGAACACCGGUGGCGAAAGCGCUCUGCUGGACCUUAACUGACACUGAGGGACGAAAGCUAGGGGAGCGAAUGGG
rnacentral:rRNA from 1 species